UUCAAUUUUGACUUUUUUGAUGUGUUUACUGUGAAGGUUUGUAUCCCGAUAAGGAGGACAUUUCAAUUAAUUGCACGGCCCUACUUAUUUUACCUUUUUUUUAUAGUCUAAAGCCUGCCUGUGAGAAAAGGCAGGGACAACAAACAGAUCCUUCAAGGUGAAAACUCAAAGCUGUUCAGACUUUAGUUUUAUUUCUAAUCUUUGAUGAGAAUAAGUGGAUUGAUGAAAUACAUGUCAUGGCCUUGAACGAAAGGAAGAAAAUGAAGUGGAGUGGAUGAUCUCACCUGCUUUGACCUGUAGUCUGGGCUGUGGUGCUGGGGGUGGUGGUGUGUUGUUGGUGGGAGUGGUCGGGUAGGAGAAGGUAGGGCUACCUGAAGCAAAGACGAGAGCAAUACUACAUUAUCUUUUUUCUUUUAUUGAUAGGGCAGCUAAAGAGAGACAGAGAGUGGGGGAAGACAUGCAGAAGAUGGUCGUGGCCAGGAGUCGAACCUACAGCCUCUGUAUAUGGGGCGCAUGCUUAAACUGCAAGGCCAACUGGCGCCCCAACAGUGUCUUCUUUUAAGUAAAAACUUGCCGUUCACAGAACAAUGAGAACCUUUCACUUUGUCAGAGCUAAACAAUGUUAUCAGCUGGAGAGGGAGAGAUAUCUGAGAGACGAGGCGAGCCUUACUCUGCCGGAGGUAACUGAGGUGUGAGAGCAGGAUGUCUGCGUUGUAUGCCGACGUGAGACGCAUCAUGUCGUCUUUGGUCAUCUUGCACAGCGCUUUGCCGUCCAGUGUGUGGAAGAGCAUGACGUCCACCUCCUCCAGGACGUACUCUUUAAUGGCCCAGUCCAACCACUGCCGCACAUGGUCCUGUGUCCACACCUCAGGAUCUGAUAUUACAAGCAUAAAAAUAAAGUCUUCAGUUAUACUACUGUA